UACGUAGGGGGCUAGCGUUGUCCGGAUUUAUUGGGCGUAAAGAGCGUGUAGGCGGCCAGGUAGGUCUGCUGUGAAAACUCGAGGCUCAACCUCGAGACGUCGGCGGAAACCAUCUGGCUAGAGUCCGGAAGAGGAGAGUGGAAUUCCUGGUGUAGCAGUGAAAUGCGUAGAUAUCAGGAGGAACACCGAUGGCGAAGGCAGGGUCUCUGGGCGUGACACUGACGCUCAUGCACGAAAGCGUGGGGAGCAAACAGG
rnacentral:rRNA from 1 species